GCUGGAAUUGCUGUAAUGGCAGGUCAGCAUACUGCCGUGAAUACGUUCCCGGGCCUUGUACACACCGCCCGUCACACCAUGAGAGUUGGAAAUACCCGAAGCCUGUGAGCUAACUUUUAGAGGCAGCAGUCGAAGGUAGAGCCAAUGAUUGGGGUGAAGUCGUAACAAGGUAUC
rnacentral:rRNA from 1 species